UUCGUACGGUAUUUGCCUACCGAGGUUCUUACGGGUGACGGGGAAUCAGGGUUCGAUUCCGGAGAGGGAGCCUGAGAAACGGCUACCACAUCCAAGGAAGGCAGCAGGCGCGCAAAUUACCCAUUCCCGACGCGGGGAGGUAGUGACGAAAAAUAACAAUGCAGGACUCGUUCGAGGCCCUGUAAUUGGAAUGAGUACACUUUAAAAGCUUUAACGAGUAUCCAUUGGAGGGCAAGUCUGGUGCCAGCAGCCGCGGUAAUUCCAGCUCCAAAAGUAUAUAUUUAAGUUGUUGCGGUUAAAAAGCUCGUAGUUGGAUUUUGGGCGCAGGCGGCCGGUCCGUCGCAAGGCGUGUACUGGACGUCCUGGCCUUCCCUCCGGUUCUCCGCCAGUGCUCUUGACUGAGUGUCGGCGGCGGCCGGAACGUUUACUUUGAAAAAAUUAGAGUGUUCAAAGCAGGCUCUCGAGCCUGGAUAAUGGUGCAUGGAAUAAUGGAAUAGGACCUCGGUUCUAUUUUGUUGGUUUUCGGAGCGCGAGGUAAUGAUUAAGAGGGACAGACGGGGGCAUUCGUACUGUGCCGUUAGAGGUGAAAUUCUUGGAUCGGCGCAAGACGAACGACUGCGAAAGCAUUUGCCAAGAAUGUUUUCUUUAAUCAAGAGCGAAAGUCAGAGGUUCGAAGACGAUCAGAUACCGUCCUAGUUCUGACUAUAAACGAUGCCAACUAGCGAUCGGGGGGCGUUACAUUGACGACCCCUCCGGCAGCUUACGGGAAACCAAAGUCUUUGGGUUCCGGGGGAAGUAUGGUUGCAAAGCUGAAACUUAAAGGAAUUGACGGAAGGGCACCACCAGGAGUGGAGCCUGCGGCUUAAUUUGACUCAACACGGGA
rnacentral:ncRNA from 1 species